UAGGGAAUAUUGGACAAUGGACGAAAGUCUGAUCCAGCCAUGCCGCGUGCAGGAUGACGGCCCUAUGGGUUGUAAACUGCUUUUAUAUAGGAAGAAACCUUUCCACGUGUGGAAAGCUGACGGUACUAUACGAAUAAGGACCGGCUAACUCCGUGCCAGCAGCCGCGGUAAUACGGAGGGUCCAAGCGUUGUCCGGAUUUAUUGGGUUUAAAGGGUACGUAGGCGGGACUUUAAGUCAGUGGUGAAAGCCUCCAGCUUAACUGGAGAAUUGCCAUUGAAACUGAAGUUCUUGAGUAUGGAUGAGGUGGUUGGAAUAUAACAUGUAGCGGUGAAAUGCAUAGAUAUGUUAUAGAACACCAAUUGCGAAGGCAGAUCACUAAACCAUUACUGACGCUGAGGUACGAAAGCGUGGGGAGCGAACAGG
rnacentral:rRNA from 1 species